rnacentral:rRNA from 1 species
UACGUAGGGUGCGAGCGUUGAUCGGAAUUACUGGGCGUAAAGCGUGUGUAGGCGGCUUUGUAAGUCCGGUGUGAAAUCUCCUGGCUUAACUGGGAGGGUGCGCCGGAAACUGGGGUGCUCGAGCGUGGGAGAGGAAAGCGGAAUUCCUGGUGUAGCGGUGAAAUGCGUAGAUAUCAGGAGGAACACCUGUGGUGUAGACAGCUUUCUGGACCAUUGCUGACGCUGAGACACGAAAGCGUGGGUAGCAAACAGG